AUCGUAUACGUUAUCGUUGCAACACACCCUGGGAAUCUCUGUUGACUAUUGAGUGAAUCUCUUGGCUCUUUGUUUUCUCUUCACGACGGCGAUAUGAAAAUCUUUGGUUAGGAAAGAAAAUAAUGCUUUCGUUGGAUGCGGCUAUAUUUUACGCCACGUAUCUGAAGAUAGGCGUGUGAAGCCUUGGUGUUAUAGGUUAACUAGUAACGAUGAUCACAGACGUUCAGUUAGCUGUUUUCGCCAACGUUCUGGGUGUGACACUGUUUCUUCUGGUUGUUCUAUACCAUUACAUCUCUGCAAACCAUUCGAAAUCCUGACUACUGCGAUCAGGUGAUGAUUACGACAGCGAGUACUUCGUAUAUCACACACGGACACGUAUCUCUACAUUACCAUGUCACUCGCAUCAAAAGUCACUUUAGCAUUUGCCUGUACAAUUUCAGUGGGAAUCAUCGGGUAUGUUCAUUACAGGCAGCAGUAUGACAGAGAGAAACUGCAUGAAGGUGUUAUUCGUGAUGUGCAACAACAACAGCGAAGAAAGACUGAAAAUUUAUAUCUCUUGCAGCAACAAAUAGAAUUGACAAAACAAUUAAAAAAGGAUGAAAAAGCAUAAUCUAAAAUACUAGCAAAAUUAGUCAUUUCCAUAGAAAAGCAGUGUUUUGUAUCAUACAAACAAAGGAAUAAAAUGAUUUAAAAUAAA